rnacentral:rRNA from 1 species
GGGGAUUAGUGGCGAACGGGUGAGUAACACGUGGGCAAUCUGCCCUUCACUCUGGGACAAGCCCUGGAAACGGGGUCUAAUACCGGAUAACACUGCGGAUCGCAUGGUCUGCGGUUAAAAGCUCCGGCGGUGAAGGAUGAGCCCGCGGCCUAUCAGCUUGUUGGUGAGGUAAUGGCUCACCAAGGCGACGACGGGUAGCCGGCCUGAGAGGGCGACCGGCCACACUGGGACUGAGACACGGCCCAGACUCCUACGGGAGGCAGCAGUGGGGAAUAUUGCACAAUGGGCGAAAGCCUGAUGCAGCGACGCCGCGUGAGGGAUGACGGCCUUCGGGUUGUAAACCUCUUUCAGCAGGGAAGAAGCGAAAGUGACGGUACCUGCAGAAGAAGCGCCGGCUAACUACGUGCCAGCAGCCGCGGUAAUACGUAGGGCGCAAGCGUUGUCCGGAAUUAUUGGGCGUAAAGAGCUCGUAGGCGGCUUGUCACGUCGAUUGUGAAAGCCCGAGGCUUAACCUCGGGUCUGCAGUCGAUACGGGCUAGCUAGAGUUCGGUAGGGGAGAUCGGAAUUCCUGGUGUAGCGGUGAAAUGCGCAGAUAUCAGGAGGAACACCGGUGGCGAAGGCGGAUCUCUGGGCCGAUACUGACGCUGAGGAGCGAAAGCGUGGGGAGCGAACAGGAUUAGAUACCCUGGUAGUCCACGCCGUAAACGGUGGGCACUAGGUGUGGGCAACAUUCCACGUUGUCCGUGCCGCAGCUAACGCAUUAAGUGCCCCGCCUGGGGAGUACGGCCGCAAGGCUAAAACUC